rnacentral:rRNA from 1 species
GGCAGGCUUAACACAUGCAAGUCGAGCGGUAGCAGAUCUAGCUUGCUAGAUGCUGACGAGCGGCGGACGGGUGAGUAACGCGUAGGAACCUGCCCAGUAGUGGGGGAUAGCCCGGGGAAACUCGGAUUAAUACCGCAUACGCUCUACGGAGGAGAGAGGGGCUUCGGGCUCUCGCUAUUGGAUGGGCCUGCGUGAGAUUAGCUAGUUGGUGAGGUAAUGGCUCACCAAGGCGACGAUCUCUAGCUGGUCUGAGAGGAUGAUCAGCCACACUGGGACUGAGACACGGCCCAGACUCCUACGGGAGGCAGCAGUGGGGAAUAUUGCACAAUGGGCGCAAGCCUGAUGCAGCCAUGCCGCGUGUGUGAAGAAGGCUUUCGGGUUGUAAAGCACUUUCAGUGGGGAGGAAGGCCUCGUAGUUAAUAGCUGCGAGGAUUGACGUUACCCACAGAAGAAGCACCGGCUAACUCCGUG